CGAGCAAACAUAUAGCCCAUUCUUUAACACAGCUCACUCUGAUGAGUGAAGGAUACCUUCAAUUAAGCACCUACUUAAUUCCCUUACUCAAACACUCAACCCUGAUUAUAAAAUGCAGAAAAUUUUGAAGAACGUCGGUCACAACCAGAUUUACAAGAGUUCACCGAUCAGUGUUUAGGAGACCAUCAAAGAAAGUGAUCUAAUAAAUUAACAAUGCAGUAAAAACUCAACAAAUACUGAGCUACCAAGCCGACUUCUGUUCAAAGAAUCUUCCCUUUCAAAGGUUUAUUACAUAGCUAGCUAAUACACGAACACACAGCUAAAUACAUUUCACAGACAAAAAAGCUAGAACUGAGAGAAAUAUUCCCCAGUGCUCGAUCCACCAAGACACCUCUCAAAGGAACAAACAAAAUCUCCAAGAAACAGAGAAAUUGUCAUAAUGGUCAAUCUCACAGAGCCUCGUACCUAGACGCCAGAAGCAGGAGACUUUACUCAUACAACACUGGGCAAGAAUCAAGUAAUGCGACUUUAUCAAUCGGACGAUCAAAAUCAGCAGACUGAGCUUGAAGUCUGCCAUAGGAUCACCUUAUAUCCUGAAUGGCAAACUCCCAGAGCUAGCCUUAUCAAGUUUUGUCUUCUUCAAAUUUAUUUUCUCCGAUGCGAUUUUCUGGAAAUAAUUUGGGCCACCAAAAUCAAACUUGGCUUGCCUCACCUUUCUCCUCUUUCCCCGAUCAUAUUCUUCAUCCCUGCAAUAUGAACGUAAAUUAUUGUAAAUUGUACAGGAUAUGUGCUUAAAAAUAAAAA